rnacentral:rRNA from 1 species
AUUGAACGCUGGCGGCAGGCCUAACACAUGCAAGUCGAACGAGUGGCGGACGGGUGAGUAAUGUCUGGGAAACUGCCCGAUGGAGGGGGAUAACUACUGGAAACGGUAGCUAAUACCGCAUACCAUCGGAUGUGCCCAGAUGGGAUUAGGUAGUAGGGGGGGUAACGGCUCAACUAGGCGACGAUCCCUAGCUGGUCUGAGAGGACGACCAGGCACGCUGGAAUGGAGACACGGUCCCGACUCCUACUGGAUGCAGCAGUGGGGAAUAUUGCACAAUGUGCGCAUUCCGAAUGCAGCCAUGCCGCGUGUAUGAAGAAGGCCUUCGGGUUGUAAGGUACUUUCAGCGAGGAGGCGUUACUCGCAGAAGAAGCACCGGCUAACUCCGUGCCAGCAGCCGCGGUAAUAC